rnacentral:rRNA from 1 species
GCUUAGUACUGCGGAGACAU